GCGCGCCGCCAGCGCUCGGAACACGGCGCCCACGUUCACGUCCUCCUUCACGGACGCCCGCAUCAGUCUGCAGCCCAGGGCGCGCGCCACCAGUUCCGCUUCGUCUCUGAAAAUCCAACACACUGGGCACGCUCACAAAGGUUAGCCAAGGACUGACGCCUAUGAUUGCCUUACGGAUUGGUGCCCCCGCUUCUCAUUUCUACAUGCGGGGUUAGUGCCCGCUGGUAUCAUGCUAAUGGUUGACACAUGGACACACAAAUAAGGAAAGGACAUAAAACAUCGAUCUAGAAGCACAAGCCUUGACUCACUCUAUCUGGCGCUCCAGGAAGUCCACGCCGAUGGUCUUCUUGUAGUCCCUGGUGAAAGUGCCGCGGCAGUACCUCUGUAUCAUGCUGCUCUUGCCCACGCCGCCGUCACCGACGAUGACCACCUUGAGCGCCACCUCCAGUUCUUCCUCGCGCAUCCUCGCAACAUCCGCCGCCCCAACAUUAGUUACUGCAGCCUAGC